GUGCUUACUUUGACAACACAUAUACUAAAAUUGGGAUGAUACGGAGAUUAGCAUAGCCCCUGCACAAGGAUGAAAUGCACAUUCAUGAAAGGUUCCAAUAUAAA